GGGGAAUAUUGCGCAAUGGGGGAAACCCUGCCGCGGCAAUACCGCGUGAGUGAAGAAGGUUUUGGAAUCGUAAGCCCCGGUUAUUGGGGAGGAAAAAAAGACGGUACCAAAGAAGAAAGUCCAGCUUAACUAGGUGCCAGCAGCCGCGGUAAUACGUAGGGGACAAGCGUUGUCCGGAUUUACUGGGCGUAAAGGGCACGCAGGCGGUUUUUUAAGUCAGAUGUGAAAGGUACCGGCUCAACCGGUGACAUGCAUUUGAAACUGAAAGACUUGAGUAUUGGAGAGGCAAGUGGAAUUCCUAGUGUAGCGGUGAAAUGCGUAGAUAUUAGGAGGAACACCGGUGGCGAAGGCGGCUUGCUGGACAAAUACUGACGCUGAGGUGCGAAAGCGUGGGGAGCAAACA
rnacentral:rRNA from 1 species